AGUUUGAUCAUGGCUCAGAACGAACGCUGGCGGCAUGCCUAACACAUGCAAGUCGAACGAAGGCUUCGGCCUUAGUGGCGCACGGGUGCGUAACGCGUGGGAAUCUGCCCUUGGGUUCGGAAUAACAGUGAGAAAUUACUGCUAAUACCGGAUGAUGACUUCGGUCCAAAGAUUUAUCGCCCAAGGAUGAGCCCGCGUAAGAUUAGCUAGUUGGUGAGGUAAAGGCUCACCAAGGCGACGAUCUUUAGCUGGUCUGAGAGGAUGAUCAGCCACACUGGGACUGAGACACGGCCCAGACUCCUACGGGAGGCAGCAGUGGGGAAUAUUGGACAAUGGGCGAAAGCCUGAUCCAGCAAUGCCGCGUGAGUGAUGAAGGCCUUAGGGUUGUAAAGCUCUUUUACCAGGGAUG
rnacentral:rRNA from 1 species